rnacentral:RNase_P_RNA from 1 species
AGCGCAAAACGUUCUAUCGCUGUCCCGAUAGCUAUCGGGACGGAGGAAAGUCCGGGCAACACAGAGCAUCCUGCUUCCUAACGGGAAGGCGCCGGCAGCCGGCGACAGCAAGUGCCACAGAAAAUAUACCGCCUGUAAGGGUAAGGGUGAAAACGUGAGGUAAGAGCUCACGGCUUUUCCGGGCGACCGGGAUUGCGGUAAACCUCAGGAGUUGAAAAACCAAAUAGGUCUUGAAAGUGAAGCGGCUCGUUUCCUGUCCCGGGCAACCGGGGCCGUCAAGAUGGGUAGGUUGAUUGAACCUGCCGGCAACGACAGGGCCAGAUUAAUGAUAGAAGCCGUCCCGAUAGCUAUUGGGGCGAUACAGAACCCGGCUUACAGAUUUGCUGCUGUAC